GUUUUGAGUUAUUAACUUUGUAUAGAAUUUAUGAGUUAAAAAAUUGGAGAAUCGUGUGAGAAUCACGAACUGUCGCGCAACUGUAAGUAAUGAUGAAUUACAAGUCAGAUUACCAAUAAAAACAUAAGAUGAUAC
rnacentral:ncRNA from 1 species